CCUGUACCACCUAGCAUCGUUUUAAUCGAUGGGGGGACGCAGUAGGAUAGGCGAAGCGUACGAUUGGAUUGUACGUCUAAGCAGUGAGAUUGAGUGUUAGGCAAAUCCGGCACUCUUAAGAUUGAGCUGUGAUGGGGAGAGGAAAUUGUUUCCUCGAGUCGUUGAUUUCACACUGCCGAGAAAAGCCUCUAGAUAGAUAAUAGGUGCCCGUACCGCAAACCGACACAGGUAGUCAAGAUGAGAAUUCUAAGGUGAGCGAGCGAACUCUCGUUAAGGAACUCGGCAAAAUGACCCCGUAACUUCGGGAGAAGGGGUGCUCUUUAGGGUGCAAGCCCAGAAGAGCCGCAGUGAAUAGGCCCAAGCGACUGUUUAUCAAAAACACAGGUCUCUGCUAAACCGUAAGGUGAUGUAUAGGGGCUGACGCCUGCCCGGUGCUGGAAGGUUAAGAGGAGUGGUUAGCUUCUGCGAAGCUACGAAUCGAAGCCCCAGUAAACGGCGGCCGUAACUAUAACGGUCCUAAGGUAGCGAAAU
rnacentral:rRNA from 1 species